rnacentral:lncRNA from 1 species
AUUUUCACCCAGAAUCAGCCAGAGACAGACACACGGAACACAGUGGUGCCAGGUAAGCUCACUUUUGAGUGUUCUGAUGUGUAUAGAUUAUCAGUUGAUGUGAAAAUAGUAAAGUGUAAUAGAGUUAGAUGGUUAGAGACAAAAGUUCAGAGACGAGUGAGUCGUGAAAGGUUAGUGAGCCAGGAAAAAGCUCGAGAGCUAUAGCCGUGGAUUUGAAAUCCAGGUAGAGAGAGAGUGAUCUCUCAUCUCUGAGUGUAGACCUCAAGUAAAGAAAUAAGAUACCUCAAGUAAAGAAAUCAGGUAGAGCCAAGCGUAAGAAAGUGAAGAGUAAGAAAAAAAGAAUAAAAGGAAGGAAGAGAAAAGUAAGCAAAGAAAAGAGUAAAUGAGAUAAUAUAGCGCAGAGAAAGAAUAGAAUAGAAUAAAGGUAAAGUACGAAAGUGUAGAAGGAGAUUUCAGUUUAGUCUGGGAUUAGAUGGCGAUGAGCUCUAGUUCAGAUAGUUCUGGAUGCGUG